rnacentral:rRNA from 1 species
AUUGAACGCUGGCGGCAUGCUUUACACAUGCAAGUCGGACGAGUGGCGGACGGGUGAGUAAUGCCUGGGAAAGUGCCGAGUAGUGGGGGAUAACUGCUGGAAACGGUAGCUAAUACCGCAUACUAUUCGAUGUGCCGAGAUGGGAUUAGCUAGUUGGUGGGGUAAAGGCUCACCGAGGCGACGAUCCCUAGCUGGUCUGAGAGGAUGACCAGCCACACGGGAACUGAGACACGGUCCAGACUCCUACGGGAGGCAGCAGUGGGGAAUAUUGCACAAUGGGCGCAAGCCUGAUGCAGCCAUGCCGCGUGUAUGAAGAAGGCCUUCGGGUUGUAAAGUACUUUCAGCGGGGAGGCGUUACCCGCAGAAGAAGCACCGGCUAACUCCGUGCCAGCAGCCGCGGUAAUAC